AGAGUUUGAUCAUGGCUCAGAACGAACGCUGGCGGCGUGGAUAAGACAUGCAAGUCGAGCGAGAUUUUUUUCUGUAGCAAUACAGGGAAAAGUCUAGCGGCGAACGGGUGCGUAACACGUGGGCAACCUGCCAAGAAGUGGGGGAUAGCUCGCCGAAAGGCGAAUUAAUACCGCAUGUGAUGAGAGUGGACAUCCAUUCAAAAUCAAAGUCGGGGCAACCUGACGCUUCUUGAGGGGCCCGCGGCCUAUCAGCUAGUUGGUGAGGUAACGGCCCACCAAGGCUUAGACGGGUAGCUGGUCUGAGAGGACGACCAGCCACACUGGGACUGAGACACGGCCCAGACACCUACGGGUGGCAGCAGUCGAGAAUUUUUCUCAAUGGGGGAAACCCUGAAGGAGCGACGCCGCGUGGAGGAUGAAGGUCUUCGGAUUGUAAACUCCUGUCAUUGGGGAACAAUGCGUAAAUAUUAACUGUAUUUGCGUUGAUAGUACCCGAAGAGGAAGAGACGGCUAACUCUGUGCCAGCAGCCGCGGUAAUACAGAGGUCUCAAGCGUUGUUCGGAUUCAUUGGGCGUAAAGGGUGCGUAGGCGGCGCGGUAAGUCGGGUGUGAAAUCUCGGGGCUUAACUCCGAAACUGCAUUCGAUACUGCCGUGCUUGAGGACUGGAGAGGAGACUGGAAUUUACGGUGUAGCGGUGAAAUGCGUAGAUAUCGUAAGGAAGACCAGUGGCGAAGGCGGGUCUCUGGACAGUUCCUGACGCUGAGGCACGAAGGCCAGGGGAGCAAACGGGAUUAGAUACCCCAGUAGUCC
rnacentral:rRNA from 1 species